UAUCCUACGGGGGGCAGCAGUGGGGAAUAUUGCACAAUGGGGGAAACCCUGAUGCAGCAACGCCGCGUGAGUGAAGAAGUAUUUCGGUAUGUAAAGCUCUAUCAGCAGGGAAGAAGAAAUGACGGUACCUGAGUAAGAAGCCCCGGCUAACUACGUGCCAGCAGCCGCGGUAAUACGUAGGGGGCAAGCGUUAUCCGGAAUUACUGGGUGUAAAGGGAGCGUAGACGGUGAUGUAAGUCUGGAGUGAAAGGCGGGGGCCCAACCCCCGGACUGCUCUGGAAACUAUGCGACUGGAGUGCAGGAGG
rnacentral:rRNA from 1 species